CAUCGGUGACAGGUGGUGCAUGGUUGUCGUCAGCUCGUGUCGUGAGAUGUUGGGUUAAGUCCCGCAACGAGCGCAACCCCUAUUGUUAGUUGCCAUCAUUCAGUUGGGCACUCUAGCGAGACUGCCGGUAAUAAACCGGAGGAAGGUGGGGAUGACGUCAAAUCAUCAUGCCCCUUAUGACCUGGGCUACACACGUGCUACAAUGGUUGGUACAACGAGUUGCGAGUCGGUGACGGCGAGCUAAUCUCUUAAAGCCAAUCUCAGUUCGGAUUGUAGGCUGCAACUCGCCUACAUGAAGUCGGAAUCGCUAGUAAUCGCGAAUCAGCACGCCGCGGUGAAUACGUUCCCGGGCCUU
rnacentral:rRNA from 1 species